rnacentral:hammerhead_ribozyme from 1 species
ACCCAGAUGACGAGUGUCAAACAGGACGAAACAUGCGUCCUGGAU